GAUGAACGCUGGCGGCGUGCCUAAUACAUGCAAGUCGAGCGAACGGACGAGAAGCUUGCUUCUCUGAUGUUAGCGGCGGACGGGUGAGUAACACGUGGAUAACCUACCUAUAAGACUGGGAUAACUUCGGGAAACCGGAGCUAAUACCGGAUGAUAUUUUGAACCGCAUGGUUCAAAAGUGAAAGACGGUCUUGCUGUCACUUAUAGAUGGAUCCGCGCUGCAUUAGCUAGUUGGUAAGGUAACGGCUUACCAAGGCAACGAUGCAUAGCCGACCUGAGAGGGUGUUCGGCCACACUGGAACUGAGACACGGUCCAGACUCCUACGGGAGGCAGCAGUAGGGAAUCUUCCGCAAUGGGCGAAAGCCUGACGGAGCAACGCCGCGUGAGUGAUGAAGGUCUUCGGAUCGUAAAACUCUGUUAUUAGGGAAGAACAUAUGUGUAAGUAAAUGUGCACAUCUUGACGGUACCUAAUCAGAAAGCCACGGCUAACUACGUG
rnacentral:rRNA from 1 species